rnacentral:lncRNA from 1 species
AUUGUAUGUAAUAAUGUGAAACCAGUGAAAACAAUACAGAUAGUUUAUUACACUUUUGUGUAAAAAGUAGUUGCAGCUAAAUUUUGUUGCUAGUGGCGUUCUGUUCGGACUUUAUUUUUAGAUUCAAAUAUAAAAUAACGAAAUCACAAUCACCUAUAAAUAUAACGAAUUAAUGUAUUAAUUAAUCAAACAAAAUUAAUUUUUAAAAGUGAGAUUAGGCUUAAAUUUUAAAAUUAAAUAAAGUGACCCGAGACAAUUUUUAAAAAUUAAAUUCAAAUGGUUGAACUUGUACUUCACAAAUUAGCGUUAUCAGAGUAAAAUAUAAGCGUAGAAGUUCCAGUAUCUUAAAUGUUGUGCCAAACUGAAACUAGUUACCACCAGCUUUUUCUGAUGAAUCAGAACAUAUAACAAGUACUAUGUUUCUGGAAAUGGAAACAUUCUGUUGAGUGUCAACGUUCUGAAGUUCAAAACUUGUACAUUUCAGUUUUACUGAAAAACUUGAAGUUCAUACUAUUUCAUAAUGAGGAGGUAGCAAAAAAUCAGUCAUUUGCCAGUUUUGCUUUGAGAAAUUUAUUCCUUUUCCAUUCCUUGUCAGUAUUUUAAAAACUUCAAUGCCUUGAUGUAGAUUUCACCAUUCUUCUGUCUUAAUUUAGCAAAGCUUAUUCUUUUGCAAGCUUGCUUAAGAUUAUAAUAUUUUCACCUCUUCAAAAAGGCUAUUACUGAAGAACAAGAGACCAGUUUUUGUUCACAAAAUAGGUAUACUAGUGGAAGUCCAGGAGUACCUAUCAUGGUCAUCCUGGGGCAGGUUAUCUGAUGGCAAAUAACAACACUCCUACUCAUGACUUUGCGCCAGCGUGGUUAAAAAUACCAUCUUAUGAAACAAGUGUAA